rnacentral:misc_RNA from 1 species
UCGUAACAAGGUCUCCGUUGGUGAACCAGCGGAGGGAUCAUUACCGAGUUUACAACUCCCAAACCCCUGUGAACAUACCUAUCGUUGCCUCGGCGGUGCCCGCUCCGGCGGCCCGCCAGAGGACCCCCAAACUCUUGUUUUAUACAGUAUCUUCUGAGUAACACGAUUAAAUAAAUCAAAACUUUCAACAACGGAUCUCUUGGUUCUGGCAUCGAUGAAGAACGCAGCGAAAUGCGAUAAGUAAUGUGAAUUGCAGAAUUCAGUGAAUCAUCGAAUCUUUGAACGCACAUUGCGCCCGCCAGUAUUCUGGCGGGCAUGCCUGUUCGAGCGUCAUUUCAACCCUCAAGCCCCCGGGCUUGGUGUUGGGGAUCGGCGUGCCCUCGCGGCGCGCCGUCCCCUAAAUCUAGUGGCGGUCUCGCUGUAGCUUCCUCUGCGUAGUAGCAACACUCGCACUGGAUCGCAGCGCGGCCACGCCGUUAAACCCCCCACUUCUGAAAGGUUGACCUCGGAUCAGGUAGGAAUACCCGCUGAACUUAAGCAUAUCAAUAA